rnacentral:rRNA from 1 species
GAUGAACGCUGGCGGCGUGCCUAAUACAUGCAAGUCGAGCGAACAGACGAGGAGCUUGCUCCUCUGACGUUAGCGGCGGACGGGUGAGUAACACGUGGAUAACCUACCUAUAAGACUGGGAUAACUUCGGGAAACCGGAGCUAAUACCGGAUAACAUGUUGAACCGCAUGGUUCAACAGUGAAAGCCGGCUUUGCUGUCACUUAUAGAUGGAUCCGCGCCGCAUUAGCUAGUUGGUAAGGUAACGGCUUACCAAGGCAACGAUGCGUAGCCGACCUGAGAGGGUGAUCGGCCACACUGGAACUGAGACACGGUCCAGACUCCUACGGGAGGCAGCAGUAGGGAAUCUUCCGCAAUGGGCGAAAGCCUGACGGAGCAACGCCGCGUGAGUGAAGAAGGUCUUCGGAUCGUAAAACUCUGUUAUUAGGGAAGAACAAAUGUGUAAGUAACUAUGCACGUCUUGACGGUACCUAAUCAGAAAGCCACGGCUAACUACGUG